rnacentral:rRNA from 1 species
GACAGAGGGUGCAAGCGUUGUUCGGAAUUACUGGGCGUAAAGCGCGCGUAGGCGGCUCUUUAAGUCGGAUGUGAAAUCCCACGGCCUAACCGUGGAAGGGCAUUCGAAACUAGAGAGCUUGAGUCCUGGAGAGGGUGGUGGAAUUCCCAGUGUAGAGGUGAAAUUCGUAGAUAUUGGGAGGAACACCGGUGGCGAAGGCGACCACCUGGACAGAGACUGACGCUGAGGUGCGAAAGCGUGGGGAG